AGAGGUUGGGGGUGGGGUGGGGAGCAAAUCCACUUCCCCACAGGCCAAAAUCUUUGAAAAGAGACUAUGAGCCAAGAGCUGGAGGAUAGACGUGGGCAGAGCGCCUUCUGCGUGAGACUCCGAGGUUUCUGCAGCGGCCUGGUUUUGUAUCCUCCGAGAUUUUUCUUUUUCCUAAAACAUGGAAAGGGUCCCUUAAAGCUGCUCUCUGAGACUCAGCAGAGAGGAAAUAAAUCCACAGAAUGGCAAAUGCUGAAUUCCGGGAGGAAGUUGAUGCUGAGAUUCAUGGAAGGGGUUCCUUCCAGUCCAAGGAAGGCCUGGAGGACUCUCUGGAGCUCAGUUCUUUUGCUGGAGACCAGAAGGAGCAGCAGUCCCUUUGGAGCUGAAUUUAGGAGACCCCCCCCCUUUUUUUUCCUCCCUUCUCCAGGAGCGAUAAUGAACCACAAAGCAUCCGCGAUGGAGACGUGGAAUGUGAUAGCUUGUGGGACGAGCUCAAGACCCUGGGAGAUUCCCAAGGUUGAGGCGAUGGCCGGUGCGGGGGAGCGGAGAGGAGCUCCGGGUUCUCGGUGCGCAUCGCCCCGCACCUGUGCGCCCCCCGCCGCGCCGCCGGCCUGCGGCCUUUGUUUCUUCCACGCCGGCCCGGGCCCGCACUUCGCUGCCAGGCGCCCUCCGCCUGCUUGGGCGGCAGCUGGGAACCAGGCUGCCCAGCCGACCCGGAGGACGACACUUCCCGAGCUGCGGCGGCCUCCCGAAACCACGGCCUCUGGCUCCUGAACUCGCUGAGCUUCCAGGCCACACGCCACCGCCUCCGCCGCCGCCGCCGAGCCAGGCCGCACGCCGGAGUCGCGGGGCUGCCGCAGCCGCUACCCGCUCGCUCGCUCGCUCGCUUCUGCCGGUACUCCACGCUGAGCCCCUUCUUCAGCCAAAGACACCCUUUUGACACAGAUCUUAAUCAGAAUAAAAACUUUAUUUUUUU